GGUCGGAAUCAUCUUAUUUGACAGAACUAAGUGAGUACGGACGGAGUCUUUCACAUUCAAACGCAGCGGAAUCGGAUACAGAGGUGCUGGAGGAGGUUUUACUCGUUUCUACAGUGUGUGGUUCAAACAACAAACCUGUCUCCAGAACCUAAACUGCCUGCUUGAAGAUGAACACGGAUGACGCAAUACAAGUCUCCAUUUACAACAAAGGCCAUGAGGAAGAACUCUAUCAUGCACACAGUAAAUAGAGCUCAGUGCUGCUAACUGGGAGAGCAGCUGGAAAACUGGAGGAGAAGAACAGUUGAACACCUAUUGAUACAGAGGACUGUAUUAUCUUCUACAAGAACCACAACAAGCAAAGACAAUGAUGCGCUCUCUGAGCAAACAAAAGUCAGAAGCUUGAUUAUGCACUGCACUUUUCUGAGUUCUUCAAAAUGUGAUGCUGAGUUAGAUUUUGAUGUUAUUUUUUUAGGUUAUUAAAUUGUAUGCUUUAAGAAUGUAAUAGCUAAGCAUUUUUUUUUUUUUUUUUGAGUGUUUAGGAUUCUGGGAACAAAAAAAAACUUCCUGCUAAAAACUUUAUAAGAAUUUAAAGGGAUAAUGUUAUGACUAAACAUGUAAAGAAGGUCACCACAGAAGUUUUUUAGAGUGUUUUUAGAGCA